UACGAAGGGGGCUAGCGUUGCUCGGAAUCACUGGGCGUAAAGCGCACGUAGGCGGCUUUCUAAGUCAGGGGUGAAAUCCUGGAGCUCAACUCCAGAACUGCCUUGAUACUGGAGAGCUAGAGUCCGGAAGAGGUGAGUGGAACUGCGAGUGUAGAGGUGAAAAUUCGUAGAUAUUCGCAAGAACACCAGUGGCGAAGGCGGCUCACUGGCCCAUAACUGACGCUGAGGCACGAAAGCGCUGGGGAGCAAACAGGG
rnacentral:rRNA from 1 species